CAGUCGCCGCGGUAAUACGAGGGGGGCAAGCGUUGUUCGGAAUUAUUGGGCGUAAAGGGUGCGUAGGCGGUCUGAUAAGUUCUAUGUGAAAUCUAUGGGCUCAACCCAUAGUCUGCAUGGAAAACUGUCAGGCUUGAGAAUGGGAGAGGUGAGUGGAAUUUCCGGUGUAGCGGUGAAAUGCGUAGAUAUCGGAAGGAACACCUGUGGCGAAAGCGGCUCACUGGACCAUUUCUGACGCUGAUGCACGAAAGCUAGGGGAGCAAACAGGAUUAGAGACCCGUGUAGUCCCUGUCUCUUAUAA
rnacentral:rRNA from 1 species